UCAAAUGUAUUUUAAAAUGGAGUGGAAGGGAUAGCAAAUACCAAUGGUACCAUGAGUAUCUAGUAAUUACCUUAAUUUCAUUUAGGGGUGAGCUGCUCACCGAUUCAACUCACGCCACUAACGAGUUGCAGUUAUGCAAAACGAGCCAUUUGGGCUUGCAAGCAAACGAGCCGCUCGAGCGUCCGCUUCUUGAUUCGAUGAGUUGAGCUUGAUCCAGACUCACAAGCGGACCUAAGGGAGUUGAGGUCAAAGGUGGCAUGCAUGGUUAAUCAAUUCAACUUUCAGUUCAAAGUUAUUUGUUGCAAUAGUUUGAUGUGCAAUACCAAAGCAAUUUUCAUUGACAACUCGUCAAACAUAACUCAAAUGGCUCCUUGUUGUUGGUUUUCGUUUGCUGUCAUUAUUACAAUUUUGUUCCUCCUUAUAGCUCUUCAUCUCCUAAAUGUUCUUUCGAUCUUAGGAUCAAAUGG
rnacentral:lncRNA from 1 species